rnacentral:rRNA from 1 species
AUGGCAGAUCCAGGUGUUGACCAAGGUGCUCUGUCAGUCGUGCCUUGUCCGGAUUGCGGGAGGAACGUGCCGUCAGGGGGUGGAUGUGAUUUCUACAGGUGGGAGGAGGCCUACGCGGCCCAUGUCGCCACUCUUGGUCUUGGAGGAGCAACUCCUGUAGUUGGCCAAGUCGGGCCAGGGUCUACCAUGUUUACAACAUUUGACCUUGGACGCUUCAUUGUCCAGGUAGGCUUUUUUGUGACAUCUGUGACAGUGACAUACUUCCGGCUCCGUAAAUGGUAA